AAAAAAUUUAAUACAUGAAAGUAAAUUAAUAUGCAUGCACAUAUACACUAUAAACAAAAAGUCAAAGUGUUGGGCAUAUGUGCUUAUUUUUCUCAAAAUAAUAGUGAUAUUGGGUUGGGACUAGCUGUGCAUUGGGCUACUGUUGGAUUGAUGGUGGGCUAAGUGAUUAAAUUUGUAUUUUUAAUGGAUCAUUCCUUCCAUUUUCUUGGAUAUGGGCUUGGACAAUACUGGGCUACAGUCUAGUAGAGCCCUUCCCCAUCUCCACCCCUGCUUGUAUGCAAAGUUUGCCAACCUUUUGUCUGAAAACUCGGCGCGUAUAUACAAUCCUUAUCCAAGUUAGUAUUUAUUUGGAACCUCCCACAGCUCUAGGGAAUUCCAUCUACAAACACAACUUACAGCUGAUUAAAACCGUUCAUCAUCAUUUAACUCAUUCAUUUUUCUUGUUGCUGGUCAUGUGUAUCGAACAAAUUUCAGUAUCAAGACGCUAUCAAUUUGAUAGUAUCAAAGAUUAUUUAACUGCACAUGCUCCAGGACACGAUUAAGACGAGGGCCUAAGGGUCUUUAUGGUACAAAAUCUACAAUCAGGUUCAUUUCACAUGACAACUAAAUUUUAACCUCUGUUUGAUAGUCUGUAAAACCCAUAACAAAGUUUUGAAUGUUAAAUUUUUGGAGAAUGUGUGGUUAAGAGGUAAGGAAGACUUUUAAUUUACAUACAAAAUAUUUUAUUGUAUGAUUUUGUAGUUAAAAAUGAGUAUAUACGAAAAAGAGUUUUUCGGAUAUGGUAGUCAAACAGCGGCUGCUUACAGGAUUUGAGGACCCUCCGAAAAUCUGCUGUAGUUAUAAGGGAAUUAAGUAUGAUGUUUUGUAAAGGCUUAAAGCACACAUAAAUGGGACUGAAGUUUUUGCCGGUCCUUGUUCAAGCCCUUCUAGAAUUAUUAUGCCCGGAUGGUGAAAUAGCGAAUCAUUGGGCCCCAGUUUUUCUAAAUCUCUUUUUUUCAAAACUUAUUUUCAACCAUAUUUUUCUAUAAAACAAUUUACAAGUAAACCUAAAACUUUUCCAUAUUUUUUAAUCACAUUCUCCAAAAAAUCACUCUUCCAAACCACAUUUCCCCAAAAAAAGGUUCAAACCAGAGGGCUGGGGUGGGG
rnacentral:lncRNA from 1 species